rnacentral:tRNA from 1 species
GCCGCUAUAGCUCAGUGGUAGAGCACUGGUCUCGUAAACCAGAGGUCGUGAGUUCAAACCUCACUGGUGGCA